rnacentral:snoRNA from 1 species
AUUGUUGCCUAUGAUGUAUACUUUUUUCCCCGGCUUAUCGAUAAAUGCUGAGACACCAUGCAUUUCAUGCCAGUUUAGCUGAGGCAACAUU